AUCGCUUCUCGGCCUUUUGGCUAAGAUCAAAUUUAAGUUUCUGUUCUUAUUGAAUUACCCUUCGAUAGAGUCUCGAAUGAGUUUCGUUAAGGUUAUUUGAUUUU
rnacentral:snRNA from 1 species